GUAGGGUGCAAGCGUUAAUCGGAAUUACUGGGCGUAAAGCGUACGCAGGCGGCUUUGCAAGACAGGUGUGAAAUCCCCGGGCCUAACCUGGGAACUGCAUUUGUGACUGCAUGGCUAGAGUCUGUCAGAGGGGGGUGGAAUUCCACGUGUAGCAGUGAAAUGCGUAGAGAUGUGGAAGAACACCGAUGGCGAAGGCAGCCCCCUGGGAUGAGACUGACGCUCAUGUACGAAAGCGUGGGGAGCAAACAGGAUUAGAUACCCUGGUAGUCCACGCCCUAAACGAUGUCUACUAGUUGUCGGAGGGUAACUCCUUCGGUAACGCAGCUAACGCGUGAAGUAGACCGCCUGGGGAAUACGGUCGCAAGAUUA
rnacentral:rRNA from 1 species